GACGAACGCUGGCGGCGUGCUUAACACAUGCAAGUCGAACGAUGAAGCUGGAGCUUGCUCUGGCGGAUUAGUGGCGAACGGGUGAGUAACACGUGAGAAAUCUGCCCUUGACUCUGGGAUAACUGCGGGAAACUGUAGCUAAUACCGGAUACUUUCCCUGGUGGGCAUCCACUGGGGAAGAAAGAAUUUCGGUCAAGGAUGAUCUCGCGGCCUAUCAGCUUGUUGGUGAGGUAAUGGCUCCCCAAGGCGACGACGGGUAGCCGGCCUGAGAGGGUGACCGGCCACACGGGGACUGAGACACUGCCGAGGCUCCUACGGGAGGCAGCAGUGGGGAAUAGUGCACAAUGGGCGCAAGCCUGAUGCAGCAACGCCGCGUGAGGGAUGAAGGCCUUCGGGUUGUAAACCUCUUUUAGCAGGGAAGAAGCGAAAGUGACGGUACCUGCAGAAAAAGCACCGGCUAACUACGUGCCAGCCGCCGCCGUAA
rnacentral:rRNA from 1 species